rnacentral:tRNA from 1 species
AUAACUUAGUGGUAGAGCACAUGCUUGGUGUCCAUGAAGUUCUGGGUUCAAUCCCCAGU